rnacentral:misc_RNA from 1 species
GAUGAAGAACGCAGCGAAAUGCGAUAAGUAAUGUGAAUUGCAGAAUUCAGUGAAUCAUCGAAUGUUUGAACGCACAUUGCGCCCGCUAGUAUUCUGGCGGGCAUGCCUGUCCGAGCGUCAUUUCAACCCUCAAGCCCCCGGGCUUGGUGUUGGGGAUCGGCGAGCCUCCGCGCCCGCCGUCCCCUAAAUCUAGUGGCGGUCUCGCUGUAGCUUCCUCUGCGUAGUAGCACACCUAGCACUGGGAAACAGCGCGGCCACGCCGUUAAACCCCCAACUUCUGAACGUUUGACCUCGGAUCAGGUAGGAAUACCCGCUGAACUUAAGCAUAUCAAUAAGCGGAGGA